CUAACAAGGAUUCCCCUAGUAACUGCGAGUGAAGCGGGAAAAGCUCAAAUUUAAAAUCUGGCGGUCUUUGACUGUCCGAGUUGUAAUCUGGAGAAGUGCUUUCCGCGCUGGACCGUGUACAAGUCUCUUGGAAUAGAGCGUCAUAGAGGGUGAGAAUCCCGUCUUUGACACGGACUACCAGUGCUUUGUGAUGCGCUUUCAAAGAGUCGAGUUGUUUGGGAAUGCAGCUCAAAAUGGGUGGUAAAUUCCAUCUAAAGCUAAAUAUUGGCGAGAGACCGAUAGCGAACAAGUACCGUGAGGGAAAGAUGAAAAGCACUUUGGAAAGAGAGUUAAACAGUACGUGAAAUUGCUGAAAGGGAAACACUUGAAGUCAGUCGCGUUGUUCAGAACUCAGCCUAGCCUUGGCUUGGUGCAUUUUCUGAAUAACGGGCCAGCAUCAAUUUUGACUGUUGGAUAAAGGCUGAGGAAAUGUGGCUCCUUUGGGAGUGUUAUAGUCCUCAGUUGCAUACAAUGGUUGGGAUUGAGGAACUCAGCAUGCCUUUAUGGUCGGGGUUCGCCCACGUUCAUGCUUAGGAUGCUGGCGUAAUGGCUUUAAAUGACCCGUCUUGAAACACGGACCAAGGAGUCUAACAUGCCUGCGAGUGUUUGGGUGGAAAACCCGAGCGCGCAAUGAAAGUGAAAGUUGGGAUCCCUGUCGUGGGGAGCACUGACGCCCGGACCAGACCUUCUGUGACGGAUCCGCGGUAGAGCAUGUAUGUUGGGACCCGAAAGAUGGUGAACUAUGCCUGAAUAGGGUGAAGCCAGAGGAAACUCUGGUGGAGGCUCGUACGAUUCUGACGUGCAAAUCGAUCGUCAAAUUUGGGUAUAGG
rnacentral:rRNA from 1 species